rnacentral:rRNA from 1 species
GCGUGAAUGAUGAAGGCCUUAGGGUUGUAAAGUUCUUUUAGCAGGGAAGAUAAUGACGGUACCUGCAGAAAAAGCCCCGGCUAACUCCGUGCCAGCAGCCGCGGUAAGACGGAGGGGGCUAGCGUUGUUCGGAAUUACUGGGCGUAAAGAGCGCGUAGGCGGUUUGAUAAGUUGGAAGUGAAAGCCCGGGGCUUAACCUCGGAAUUGCUUUCAAAACUGUCAAUCUAGAGUGUAGUAGGGGAUGAUGGAAUUCCUAGUGUAGAGGUGAAAUUCUU